GUUGUUCAACUCGUCUUUUAUUCAUUCAUUCCUUUAUUAUUGCUGUGUUUUUCUCUCCUUCAAAGUGUUGGAAAGAAAAGCCGCCCUCUCUUCAGCUCCUCCGAUUCCUUCUUGCCAAUCACCAGUCCACACCUGUACUGCCGUCCAAUCAUAUCUCUCCUUAACCACCACCUCAUCACCUCAACCUGCCAUCCAGAAUAAGCCUACAUUUAGAGUAGGUACUAUUGUUCAAUUCAUUUUAAGUCUUCAGUUUAACUCAAUCUCAUUAUCUCACUCUCAUAAGGCCAGGAGUUGUUCUUGACCAUGUGACCUGACCAGAAAUAAAGCCCUAGACUAGUCAUGCAUAUAAAUAUAUCUGUUAUUGUUGUAGUUGUCAUACAGAAAGCCUGUGUAAGUAUGGAGAUGAGACAAUCGCCAUGUUUCUCACCAUGAGACCAUGUUUACAGACAAUUACUGAACUAACCCUGUUAUUAACCUGUUAUGACACUUUUUCCUAUCGCUCGCUUCCUCCCAUUCCCCAAAUGAACAAACACUCAGCAGCAAUGUCACUAUCUCCUUCAUUUAAACUGAGACCCAAACUCUCAGGCUUAGCAAAAAUACCCUGUCAUUCAGAACUUCAGAGAGAUAGAUAGAUAAAUAGAGAAAGUGAAAUAGAGAGAGAGAGAUAUAAUUCAUCAGUGAGUUUGUCUUUUCUCCUGAGGCCUCUCGCUGAUUCCCAAUUAUCGUUCCACUCUGUAGGUCUUCUGAUCAAAGCUAAAAAUCCCUGAAAACCUUUUGCCACUAAGUGGGGCUGUUAAACCUUUCAUGCCUCACCAUUCAUCUAAUAACACCAUUCCACUUGGAACCAUAUGUUAGGUUUCACUGCUGAUCAGGCCAUUUGCCAGCUUUUCAGAUCAGAGCUGUUUACUAGCCCUAAAACCAACAUUCAGCCAAUCACGUUGCCUCUUCUAGCCCUAAAACCAACAUUCAGCCAAUCAAGUUGGCUUUUCUAGCCCUAAAACCAACAUUCGGCCAAUCACGUUGGCUCUUCUAGCCCUAAAACCAACAUUCAGCCAAUCAUGUUGCCUCUUCUAGCCCUAAAACCAACAUUCAGCCAAUCACGUUGCCUCUUCUAGCCCUAAAACCAACAUUCAGCCAAUCACGUUGCCUCUUCUAGCCCUAAAACCAACAUUGAGUAUGAGUGUGAGUGACCAAACACACAUCAUCAAACUACCACACUGUGAGUAUGAGUGUGAGUGACCAAACACAUCAUCAAACUACCACACUGUGAGUAUGAGUGUGAGUGACCAAACACACAUCAUCAAACUACCACACUGUGAGUAUGAGUGUGAGUGACCAAACACAUCAUCAAACUAUCACACUGUGAGUAUGAGUGUGAGUGACCAAACACAUCAUCAAACUACCACACUGUGAGUAUGAGUGUGAGU
ensembl:lncRNA